ACGAUGAAAGCAGGAGCUUGCUUUUGCUGGAUUAGUGGCGAACGGGUGAGUAACACGUGAGUAACCUGCCCUUGACUCUGGGAUAAGCGUUGGAAACGACGUCUAAUACCGGAUACGAGCUAGGACCGCAUGGUCACUAGUUGGAAAGAAUUUUGGUCAAGGAUGGACUCGCGGCCUAUCAGCUAGUUGGUGAGGUAACGGCCCACCAAGGCGACGACGGGUAGCCGGCCUGAGAGGGUGACCGGCCACACUGGGACUGAGACACGGCCCAGACUCCUACGGGAGGCAGCAGUGGGGAAUAUUGCACAAUGGGCGAAAGCCUGAUGCAGCAACGCCGCGUGAGGGACGACGGCCUUCGGGUUGUAAACCUCUUUUACCAGGGAAGAAGCGAAAGUGACGGUACCUGCAUAAUAAGCACCGGCUAACUACGUGCCAGCAGCCGCGGUAAUACGUAGGGUGCAAGCGUUGUCCGGAAUUAUUGGGCGUAAAGAGCUCGUAGGCGGUUUGUCGCGUCUGCUGUGAAAAUCCGAGGCUCAACCUCGGACCUGCAGUGGGUACGGGCAAACUAGAGUGCGGUAGGGGAGAUUGGAAUUCCUGGUGUAGCGGUGGAAUGCG
rnacentral:rRNA from 1 species